rnacentral:sRNA from 1 species
UGAAGUUGCGUGAGAAUGGAGAGAUACGUUGUCGUUCGUGUGUCUCCACCCACAACAAAUCUAACUCGUGGAUGAAUGGUUGUUGAGUAAAAAGCAUAAUAAUUCAUCACUUACGCCACAGCGUCUAAAUUCAAAUAUCAUUUCAUUCAAUCCAUCUAUAAAUAGUACACUGCAAAGCUAUCACCAGCCACAGCCACCAAUUCAAAACAUGAGGUAUAUGCCAUUAUUAUAUAUCUCUUUAAUUUCUAAUCACUUCCUUUAUUUUUGUGCCUUUCAGUCUCUGCAGAAUCAUGUGAUACGCCAUGGUGAUCCAUUCUAGUGUAUCAAACCACUUACAUAGGUUUUGGUUUAAUGAUGAAAUGAUUAUCAGUAACCUGUUCACUCUCUUAUUUUCAUUCAUCACAGUUUUUCUUGUUCGCUCCUUUGUCAGGAUAUUGUAAGCAUAUAUUUUGAUAUGUUUAUUCUGUAUCGGUAAGAAACUUACUAUCAUCAUGAUUUUCAUCUUUUUGCUGAUAUAUUAUAAUUUAAUAGCAUCACCAAACACUGGUAAUGGAUGGUUUGAUACAUUAGUAUGGAUCACUUUUGCGAGUCACGUUAAUUAGAACAAGUAUGGUGUUCUUGGUGAUCGAUCACUUUGGCGAUUGGCCGGUGCGACAAAAGAUAACCUAAAAUUUGUACGGAGUCAUCCUCGGGUUGGCUAUUAUAUUGUUGCACCUGCUAAGGUUGUGGCCUUAGACGGAAGAAGGGACGUUGUAGCUGUUGUGAGUUCAAGGACAGCAAAACUAUAUAGUCUCUCUACAUUCUUCUGUUAACAAACAAAAUUAUUGAAAGUUCUUAUAUUAUAUUGCUAUCAAAAUUUAUAUCAAUAAAAUAUUACUCAUAUACUUUAUUAUAGGAAUUUAAUAUUGGAAGUGGUGUCUCAUCUUUAAUUGUUACAAGAGAAUCAGAUGAAGGAAGCACAACAUAUUAACUGUGUUUUUUUUAUAUAUUUUAAUGUAAAAUCUGAACUAUCAAUUCUUUGUAUUUUUCUUUAUAUUUUCAUUAUAAUUGUGAGCAA